rnacentral:misc_RNA from 1 species
AAGUCGUAACAAGGUUUCCGUAGGUGAACCUGCGGAAGGAUCAUUACAGAGUUCAUGCCCUCACGGGUAGAUCUCCCACCCUUGAAUAUUAUAUCUUAGUUGCUUUGGCAGGCCGUGGAAACACCAUGAGCUCCGGCUUAUGCGUGCCUGCCAGAGGAAACAAACUCUGUUUUUAGUGAUGUCUGAGUACUAUAUAAUAGUUAAAA